rnacentral:lncRNA from 1 species
UUUCAAGAAAUAAAUCCAAACCUAAAACAAAAAAAGCCAAUGGUUCACACCAGCAUAUCUGAAACAAACAAGCAAAAAACUAGUUAUAAACUAGAUAUAAAAGGAACUAUGAAGUAUUAAUAAUAACCACCCCUAUUCACUGAGCACAUAUCCUUUCAUACUGGGCACUGUUCCUUAUGUAUACCUGUUUAUCUCAUCCUCACAGCAGAUGAUCUUCCACACAUUAUCAAUGAAGAAAUGAAGGCUCAGGAAGGUUAAGUCACCUGCCGAGGUUCAUAGAGCAAGACUGUUGUGAAGAUUAAAUCAAAGCAAUCAUCAAGUGAAGAUCUCAGCAGUGUUUGACUCACAAUCACUCACUCUUGGGGGAGCCAACUUCCAUGUCGUGAGACCAUUCAAGCAGCCGUAAGGAAAGGCCAACAUAGCAAGGAAUGGAGGCUUCCCGUUAAUAGCCAGUGAAGAACUGUGGCCCUUUGCCAAUGUAUAUGUGAGUGAGCCAUCUUGGAAGUGGGUCCUUGGGCCUCCUUCAAGCCUACAGAUGACCGUAGCCCUUACUGACACAUUGACUGUAAUCUCAUGAGAGACCCUGAGCCAUAACCACCCACAUAAGCUGCCCCCUGACACCUAACCCAUAGAAACUGUGACAUAAUAAAAGGUGUUACAAG